ensembl:lncRNA
GUGUGUGGACCUGUGACUCUACAUGAAUGACUCAAGUGAAGAAACACGAGUGAAACCACUAUUUCAAAGGAAAAAGAAGAGGAAGAGGGGACAUCUUGAACAUUCGCAGUGGAACUUGAGUGCGCAUCUGCGCAAAGUCUCUCCAAAGUCACUUGGUAACUUGCGCGCACCACUGCAGCUCCAUUCUCAAGCAGUUUUGGGGGUCACGGCGAGGAGAGACUGUCGUCCGGCAGAAUGGCGUCAGACGUGGGCCGCAGCACUUGAGCAGGUGCAGAGCAGAUUUUGCAUGGAAAGGGUGAAAGUGUGCAGCUGCAGCAGUGAUCCUGAAGCUCAGACGUAUGUCAAUAUUUUGCUGUCGUACCUUAAGAUUAAAGGCAAAUUUCCUCUGGAGCUUCAUUUGACAUUUACUGGGCUUUUGCAUUGUCUGACUAUUUAUAUCACAGCAGAAACAUACCUUUACAGCACUGCCGUAGAAUUACAGUGUCUUAUUUAGCUCGAAAGCAUGUGAAAUAGCACUUUUUUUAAUUGCAGGUGUAUUAUUCAACGUCAGUAAUUUGCAUCACAAUGUUUGACAUGAAACUUGAAAUAAAAUCAGGAACUAGCUCUAUUUUAGAUGUAUG